rnacentral:rRNA from 3 species
UACGUAGGGUCCAAGCGUUGUCCGGAUUUAUUGGGCGUAAAGAGCUCGUAGGUGGUUCAGUAAGUCGGAUGUGAAAACUCGGGGCUCAACCCCGAGACGCCAUCCGAUACUGCUGUGACUUGAGUCUGGUAGGGGAGAUCGGAAUUCCUGGUGUAGCGGUGAAAUGCGCAGAUAUCAGGAGGAACACCGGUGGCGAAGGCGGAUCUCUGGGCCAGUACUGACACUGAGGAGCGAAAGCGUGGGUAGCAAACAGG